AUUUUUAGGUCAGGAUUGCAAAGCGGUCUGAGGUACUGCGUUCAGGUUGAAGAAUUCACUUCAAAAGUGUGAUGAAAAACAAAUGUAAUCUGUGACAGCAUGAUAUUUUUUAUAAUUUCCACUAUUUAACAUAUUUCUCAGUCAGGAUGGCCGGUCUAAGGCGCUGCGUUCAAAUCCCACUUCUGACAAAAGGUUAAAACAAGUGUUUUAAUUUCUGUAAAGUCCAAAACAAGAGGUUGCGAGGGAAACUGUGAAAAAGGCAUUCAUGUAACAAAUAAAUGUCCACUUACGUGAAUGUGUCUGUCACAAGGGAGGACGCUGCAGGUAUCAGACAUGAUUUUUCUCGCUCUUUUGUAAAAAAGGAUGUGCAAUUCAAUGAUAUAUGAAAUGUAGGUUAUCCUGCUAUUUGUCAUAAUUUCAAUGUUUGAGGUAUUUUACAGUCAGGAUGGCCGAGUGGUCUAAGGCGCUGCGUUAAGGUCGCAGUCUCCCCUGGAGGCGUGGGUUCAAAUCCCACUUCUGACAGAAGGUUAAGACAAGUGUUUUAAUAUCUGUAAAGUCCAAAACAAGAGGUUGCGAGGGAAACCGUGAAAAAGGCAUUCAUGUAACAAUAAAUGUCCAGUUACGUGAAUGUGUAUGUGCCACAAGGGAGGACGCUGCAGGUAUCAGACCUGAUAUUUCUCGCUCUUUUGUAAAAAAGGAUGUGCAAUUCAAUGACAUAUGAAAUAUAGGUUAUCCUGCUUUUUGUCAUAUUUUCAAUAUUUGAGGUAUUUUACUGUCAGGAUGGCCGAGUGGUCUAAGGCGCUGCGUUAAGGUCGCAGUCUCCCCUGGAGGCGUGGGUUCAAAUCCCACUUCUGACAGAAGGUUAAGACAAGUGUUUUAAUAUCUGUAAAGUCCAAAACAAGAGGUUGCGAGGGAAACCGUGAAAAAGGCAUUCAUGUAACAAUAAAUGUCCACUUACGUGAAUGUGUAUGUGCCACAAGGGAGGACGCUGCAGGUAUCAGAGCUGAUAUUUCUCGCUCUUUUGUAAAAAAGGAUGUGCAAUUCAAUAAUAUAUGAAAUAUAGGUUAUCCUAGUAUUUGUCAUAAUUUCAGUGUUUGAGGUAUUUUACAGUCAGGAUGGCCGAGUGGUCUAAGGCGCUGCGUUAAGGUCGCAGUCUCCCCUGGAGGCGUGGGUUCAAAUCCCACUUUUGACAAAAAGGUUAAGACAAGUGUUUUAAUUUCUGUAAAGUCCAAAACAAGAGGUUGCGAGGGAAACCGUGAAGAAGGCAUUCAUGUAACAAAUAAAUGUCCACUUACGUGAAUGUGUAUGUGCCACAAGGGAGGACGCUGCAGGUAUCAGAGCUGAUAUUUCUCGCUCUUUUGUAAAAAAGGAUGUGCAAUUCAAUGAUAUAUGAAAUAUAGGUUAUCCUAGUAUUGGUCAUAAUUUCAGUGUUUGAGGUAUUUUACAGUCAGGAUGGCCGAGUGGUCUAAGGCGCUGCGUUAAGGUCGCAGUCUCCCCUGGAGGCGUGGGGUCAAAUCCCACUUCUGGCAAAAGGUUAAGACAAUUC
ensembl:lncRNA